GAGUUUGAUCCUGGCUCAGGACGAACGCUGGCGGCGUGCCUAAUACAUGCAAGUCGAGCGGACAGAUGGGAGCUUGCUCCCUGAUGUUAGCGGCGGACGGGUGAGUAACACGUGGGUAACCUGCCUGUAAGACUGGGAUAACUCCGGGAAACCGGGGCUAAUACCGGAUGGUUGUUUGAACCGCAUGGUUCAAACAUAAAAGGUGGCUUCGGCUACCACUUACAGAUGGACCCGCGGCGCAUUAGCUAGUUGGUGAGGUAACGGCUCACCAAGGCAACGAUGCGUAGCCGACCUGAGAGGGUGAUCGGCAACACUGGGAUGAGACACGCCCCCAGACUCAUACGGGAGGUCUCCCCGUCGGGAAUUUUCCGCCAUUGGGAUGAAAGUCUGACGAAGCAACGCCGCGUGAGUGAUGAAGGUUUUCGGAUCGUAAAGCUCUGUUGUUAGGGAAGAACAAGUACCGUUCAAAUAGGGCGGUACCUUGACGGUACCUAACCAGAAAGCCACGGCUAACUACGUGCCAGCAGCCGCGGUAAUACGUAGGUGGCAAGCGUUGUCCGGAAUUAUUGGGCGUAAAGGGCUCGCAGGCGGUUUCUUAAGUCUGAUGUGAAAGCCCCCGGCUCAACCGGGGAGGGUCAUUGGAAACUGGGGAACUUGAGUGCAGAAGAGGAGAGUGGAAUUCCACGUGUAGCGGUGAAAUGCGUAGAGAUGUGGAGGAACCACCAGUGGCGAAGGCGACUCUCUGGUCUGUAACUGACGCUGAGGAGCGAAAGCGUGGGGAGCGAACAGGAUUAGAUACCCUGGUAGUCCACGCCGUAAACGAUGAGUGCUAAGUGUUAGGGGGUUUCCGCCCCUUAGUGCUGCAGCUAACGCAUUAAGCACUCCGCCUGGGGAGUACGGUCGCAAGACUGAAACUCAAAGGAAUUGACGGGGGCCCGCACAAGCGGUGGAGCAUGUGGUUUAAUUCGAAGCAACGCGAAGAACCUUACCAGGUCUUGACAUCCUCUGACAAUCCUAGAGAUAGGACGUCCCCUUCGGGGGCAGAGUGACAGGUGGUGCAUGGUUGUCGUCAGCUCGUGUCGUGAGAUGUUGGGUUAAGUCCCGCAACGAGCGCAACCCUUGAUCUUAAGUUGCCAGCCAUUCAGUGGGCCACUCUAAGGUGACUGCCGGUGACAAACCGGAGGAAGGUGGGGAUGACGUCAAAUCAUCAUGCCCCUUAUGACCUGGGCUACACACGUGCUACAAUGGACAGAACAAAGGGCAGCGAAACCGCGAGGUUAAGCCAAUCCCACAAAUCUGUUCUCAGUUCGGAUCGCAGUCUGCAACUCGACUGCGUGAAGCUGGAAUCGCUAGUAAUCGCGGAUCAGCAUGCCGCGGUGAAUACGUUCCCGGGCCUUGUACACACCGCCCGUCACACCACGAGAGUUUGUAACACCCGAAGUCGGUGAGGUAACCUUUUAGGAGCCAGCCGCCGAAGGUGGGACAGAUGAUUGG
rnacentral:rRNA from 1 species